rnacentral:lncRNA from 1 species
GUUCUCUAUAUUUUGAUUUGUAUCAGUUUUAUCAUUAUUACUUGAAGCAAGUAAAUUUUUAUAAUGAAUCUCCCAUUCUUUGGCAGAAAUAGCAGGCUCACAGUUAUUAUUCUUUUUUUUGUAAUUAUUAAUGCUUCCCCAAAAUUCUUUGGUGUUCUUUGGGUUUAUCUCAUUUAUUUGUUUUAUCAAGGAAUGAAAAAAAUCCUUUUUUAAUUUAUUUUUCAAUUUAUUGUACUCUCUUUUACAGUUGCAAUAAGUUAAUCUUAAUGCAUUAUUAUUAGGGGCUUUAGCUAAUCUAUUUCCAAGGGAACGCACUUCUUUUCUAAGGAGUAAGCAAUCAUUUGACAUCCAUACUUUUUUAGGUUUUGCUUUUUUUGUGUGUCUUUGCAUUAUGGAUUUUUUUAAAAUUUGCUUUAAAAGAAACUGAUUUUUUUUGCAGCUUCUAAAUAGAUUUCAUUAGUUUUGGUCACUAAGAAG